rnacentral:rRNA from 1 species
UACGAAGGGGGCUAGCGUUGCUCGGAAUUACUGGGCGUAAAGCGCGUGUAGGCGGUCACGCAAGUCAGGUGUGAAAGCCCAGGGCUCAACCCUGGAAGUGCACAUGAUACUACGUGGCUGGAGUACUGAAGAGGAGAGCGGAAUUCCCGGUGUAGAGGUGAAAAUUCGUAGAUAUCGGGAGGAACACCGGUGGCGAAGGCGGGUCUCUGGGCCGAAACUGACGCUGAGGAGCGAAAGCGUGGGGAGCAAACAGG